GGCUCAGGACGAACGCUGGCGGCGUGCUUCAUACAUGCAAGUCGAACGAUAAAGGUUCCUUCGGGAAUACAUAAGUGGCGGACGGGUGAGUAAUAUGUAGAGAAUCUGCCCUGAAGAGGGGGACAACAGAGGGAAACUUCUGCUAAUACCCCAUAUGCGCGUAGUUGGGAUACUAUUCGUGAAAGAUUUAUCGUUUCAGGAUGAGUCUGCAUCUGAUUAGCUAGUUGGGGGUGUAAUGGACCACCAAGGCGACGAUCAGUAGCUGGUUUGAGAGGAUGAUCAGCCACAAUGGGACUGAGACACGGCCCAUACUCCUACGGGAGGCAGCAGUAGGGAAUUUUGCGCAAUGGGCGAAAGCCUGACGCAGCAACGCCCGCGUGAUCGCAGACGGCCUUCGGGUUGUAAAGAUCUGUCAGCAGGGACGAACAAUGACUGUACCUGCAGAGGAAGCACCGGCUAACUCCGUGCCAGCCGCCGC
rnacentral:rRNA from 1 species